rnacentral:rRNA from 1 species
AUUGAACGCUGGCGGCAGGCUUAACACAUGCAAGUCGAGCGGAGAGAGGUAGCUUGCUACUGAUCUUAGCGGCGGACGGGUGAGUAAUGCUUAGGAAUCUGCCUAGUAGUGGGGGACAACAUUUCGCAAGGAAUGCUAAUACCGCAUACGUCCUACGGGAGAAAGCAGGGAAUCUUCGGACCUUGCGCUAAUAGAUGAGCCUAAGUCGGAUUAGCUAGUUGGUGGGGUAAAGGACUACCAAGGCGACGAUCUGUAGCGGGUCUGAGAGGAUGAUCCGCCACACUGGGACUGAGACACGGCCCAGACUCCUACAGGAGGCAGCAGUGGGGAAUAUUGGACAAUGGGCGCAAGCCUGAUCCAGCCAUGCCGCGUGUGUGAAGAAGGCCUUAUGGUUGUAAAGCACUUUAAGCGAGGAGGAGGCUACUUUCGUUAAUACCUAGAGAUAGUGGACGUUACUCGCAGAAUAAGCACCGGCUAACUCUGUGCCAGCCGCCGCUGUAA